GACGAACGCUGGCGGCGUGCUUAACACAUGCAAGUCGAACGGAAAGGCCCUGCUUUUGUGGGGUGCUCGAGUGGCGAACGGGUGAGUAACACGUGAGUAACCUGCCCUUGACUUUGGGAUAACUUCAGGAAACUGGGGCUAAUACCGGAUAGGAGCUCCUGCUGCAUGGUGGGGGUUGGAAAGUUUCGGCGGUUGGGGAUGGACUCGCGGCUUAUCAGCUUGUUGGUGGGGUAGUGGCUUACCAAGGCUUUGACGGGUAGCCGGCCUGAGAGGGUGACCGGGCACAUUGGGACUGAGAUACGGCCCAGAAUCCUACGGGCGGCAGCAGUGGGGAAUAUUGCACAAUGGGCGGAAGCCUGAUGCAGCAACGCCGCGUGCGGGAUGACGGCCUUCGGGUUGUAAACCGCUUUCGCCUGUGACGAAGCGUGAGUGACGGUAAUGGGUAAAGAAGCACCGGCUAACUACGUG
rnacentral:rRNA from 1 species